AACGAACGCUGGCGGCAGGCUUAACACAUGCAAGUCGAACGCGUCCUUCGGGACGAGUGGCAGACGGGUGAGUAACGCGUGGGAACCUACCUUUUGGUACGGAAUAACUCAGGGAAACUUGAGCUAAUACCGUAUGUGCCCUGUCCUUUAACGGGAUUUGGGGAAAGAUUUAUCGCCAAAGGAUGGGCCCGCGUCGGAUUAGCUAGUUGGUGGGGUAAUGGCCUACCAAGGCGACGAUCCGUAGCUGGUCUGAGAGGAUGAUCAGCCACACUGGGACUGAGACACGGCCCAGACUCCUACGGGAGGCAGCAGUGGGGAAUAUUGGACAAUGGGGGCAACCCUGAUCCAGCCAUGCCGCGUGAGUGAUGAAGGCCUUAGGGUUGUAAAGCUCUUUCGCCGGUGAAGAUAAUGACGGUAACCGGAGAAGAAGCCCCGGCUAACUUCGUGCCAGCCGCCGCCGUAAUAC
rnacentral:rRNA from 1 species